CAGAGGUGAAGACAAGAGCUGGCCUAAAAUAUGAGUGUAGCAGCUUUGGUGAUUUAGAAAGCAAAGAAGUCGCGAUGCUGUGCCAAAUGGCUGCCUUCCGAGGCUCUCUGAAAAUGUUUACAAGUCAGAUGAAAGAAAUGGUCCUCCCAGAUGGUGGCUGCGAGCAAGGGAUUUCUCUAGGGUCAGAGGGUGUGAAGGAAAUCCGAAGUGCUGCUGUGUUUUGUUUUCGGCAGCUGGCAAGAGAGAAGCUUUGUCGAAGAUUGAAGGGCACACCAGGAAUCCAUGCCUCCUCUCCUGUUUUGGGAUGAAGUCUAAUUGGCCAUCCAAUGUGCUCCUAAUUAGUGAGCAGUGUCUUCCAAAGGAGAUUCAGGGAACCGAUGAUACCUUUCACCUCUACCAUCUUCAGCGUGUGUCUUCUAAGGUGGCUACACUUGUCUGCAUCAGCUGACAGAUGAAUGAAGAACAUGGAGGAUAUUCCAUGGGAUGUUUACUUGAAUAAGACCUGAAAGGAGCACGAAGCACUUCUGCUCAUAUUCUACUGAAUAGAACUGCAGUGGAAGCUGGGAAAUAUAUUCUAGCUGUGAGCCCGGUAAGGGGAAAAGGAAACAAAUUUUGUGAUAAGCUGGGAAAAUUCUGCUUCAGAUGCCAAGUGUGUGCACUUAGAAGGACAUCUGAUUGGCAUCUUUUUGGUUUGUUCUUUAGUUAUUAUCUGGCUAGCAUUUCUGUAUCCAUAUACAAACAAGUAGAUCAAGAAGAUGGAGUACCAGUGGCCUUGCUGAAUUCCAGAAGUAUAUCUAAACAUUCCCCUGCAAUAUCAGGCUAGUGACCCAAUCCUAAAGAAAAUGAGGUUAGACUAAUGAUUUCUUCUAACUGAACCAAUCACUUUUUAAUUUUUUUAGUGAAUAUUAAUAAUUACAUUAAAAUUUUAUUUUAGAAACUUAUGGAGCUCAGUGUAAAAUUCUUUUUGGUCUUGGUUCCUAGAAUCUAUAAUUUGAAUAUUAGAACAAUAUUUAUAAUAAUUUUUGAAACCUGUAAUACAUAUUACGUUUUGUCCAUACACAAAAUAAAUAAUGUGACUCAUACA
rnacentral:lncRNA from 1 species